rnacentral:rRNA from 1 species
ACGAACGCUGGCCGCGUGCUUAACACCUGCCAGUCGAACGGUGAACGAGGGAGCUUGCUCCCUCCGGAUCAGUGGCGAACGGGUGAGUAACACGUGAGCAAUCUGCCCCGAACUCUGGGAUAAGCGUUGGAAACGACGUCUAAUACCGGAUACGACGCGGGAGGGCAUCCUCUCCGCGUGGAAAGAACUUCGGUUCGGGAUGAGCUCGCGGCCUAUCAGCUUGUUGGUGGGGUAACGGCUCACCAAGGCGACGACGGGUAGCCGGCCUGAGAGGGUGACCGGCCACACUGGGACUGAGACACGGCCCAGACUCCUACGGGAGGCAGCAGUGGGGAAUAUUGCACAAUGGGCGCAAGCCUGAUGCAGCAACGCCGCGUGCGGGACGACGGCCUUCGGGUUGUAAACCGCUUUUAGCAGGGAAGAAGCGAGAGUGACGGUACCUGCAGAAAAAGCACCGGCUAACUACGUG